UCAUAUAGUAUAUCGUCCACUUUAAUAUCCUUCCUUUGAUAUGCAAAUCUCCAGUAAAUGUAUUCUGAGUAUUUCAGAAAAUAGCAGCGCUGCUGAACAUCCUGGAGGAAACAGAGUUACAGAGAAUUGAGGAAGAGGAACCUGAAGGGCAGCAUGUUGGUUCUUAGAAAGAUAUUCAGAGUGAAUGAAGGAAUAGAGGGGAGAUUCCCCCGUCAAUUGGCAAUGGGUCUGAUGGACCAGCUCUCUGUAUAAAAGACAGGUCAGAUCAGACCUCAGACAUAGAACCAGAGCAUCAGCUAGACUUCUGACACUGAACCAGACCAGAGCAUCAGAGACCAGAGCAUCAGAGACCAGAGCAUCAGAGACCAGAGCAUCAGAGACCAGAGCAUCAGAGACCAGAGCAUCAGAGACCAGAACAUCAGAGACCAGAGCAUCAGAGACCAGAACAUCAGAAAACAUCUCAGACAAUACAAUCUUCUGCAUCUCAACCAUCUCUGAACCAUGAAGACCCUGACUGCUCUACUCCUCCUGGGACUGCUCUGCUCCCUCCCUACGACUUCUGCACAGCCUGUCAUGGGGAUUUCAGCAAUGACUGCCAGAGAAUGCUGUGUGAAUUUCCACCUGAGAAGGAUCCCUCUUGGUGCAGUGGUUUCAGUUUCUCGAACCUCUAGUAGCUGCCCUCGCCAAGCACUGGUGUUUACAACAAAGAAAGGGAAUCAAUUUUGUCUCGACCCAUCUCAGGCCUGGGUCCAGAGUCAUGUGACCAAGAUUGAGAGCAGAUCGUUGUCUCUGCCAGGACAACGAUGAUGUCAUCAACCACAGCCACCACAAACACACUGCCAUAACUGUCAAAAAAAUAUAUAUUAGAUUUUUGUUGUACAUACAGUAAUAUUAUUUAAUUCUUAUUUAUUUACAAUACUGUGAAGUUACUGUGUAUUUUGAAAUUGUUUUGUCAACAAAUAAUUAUUUUUUUCAGCAAUAAAGCGAAA